CUCCGGGUUUUUUUUUUCUCUUCCUUUCUCCACUUACCUGUGAAUCAGGGACACAGCAGAGGAACUCCACUGGAGCCUAUGGACAAAGAAGUAUUGCUGUGGCUGGUUACCAUGGGAACAGAGGUACCUGGAAAAAGUGGUGGCUUCACGUGACGACAUACAAUAGCUUGUGGAUGCAUCGAAGGCUGCAGCACUUCUUUGUCUCUCCCAGCGUGUGCUGGAAGGGUCCAUCUCCACACAAGACAUUUUAAAGCAGUCAGUAGAAAUUCUAGCCACAUUUAAAUGUAUAUACAUUUCUUGUACAGGAAUGUAGAUCUAAACUGAUGGUUUGAGAGAAGCUGAUCUUACACAAGAUGGUGAUCAUGGUAAACGUUGCAGCCAGUUUGUUGGUGCACCACUAAAAUAUCCCAGAGGAUGAAUCCUGCUGACUUAUAGCGUUCUAAAGCAUUGAGCUCAAUAGACCAUUGUGCCAAGACGAGGGUAUCCAUGUUCCCAGGGUACUUUGUUGCCGAGUUCAAAAUGUAAAUUAGCAAAUAGAGCCAGCGAAUAUGUUGUGCCUUAUGGAGCUGGGGAACUGGCAUGUUCUCAAGUUAUUUAAAAUACACUUAUUUUAACCCAAACCACGAUUUAUUCUUAUAGUUUUGGUGCCUGAAAGCUAAUGUGACACGAAGGGAUCCUGAGCAAGUGUCUGCAGAGUGAGGAGUUGGGAAUGAGAAGGGGGAGGGAACAAGGCCACGGGAGAG
ensembl:lncRNA